AUCAACAAAGUAAAAAUGCUAGUGGAAAUAAUAAAGGACUUUGUGAGCUACUCUGAUUUAAUUUAUCUGUAGGCCUAUCCGGUGAAAUGUUGAAAAUACUUUUGAGUUUGUGAAAGCAAAGGCUUCCAGGCUUAUCAAAUGGAAAGGGAAGAAAACA